AUUGAACGCUGGCGGCAGGCUUAACACAUGCAAGUCGAGCGGAGAUGAGGUGCUUGCACCUUAUCUUAGCGGCGGACGGGUGAGUAAUGCUUAGGAAUCUGCCUAUUAGUGGGGGACAACAUUCCGAAAGGAAUGCUAAUACCGCAUACGCCCUACGGGGGAAAGCAGGGGAUCUUCGGACCUUGCGUUAAUAGAUGAGCCUAAGUCGGAUUAGCUAGUUGGUGGGGUAAAGGCCUACCAAGGCGACGAUCUGUAGCGGGUCUGCGAGGAUGAUCCGCCACACUGGGACUGAGACACUGCCCAGACUCCUACGGGAGGCAGCAGUGGGAAAUAUUGGACAAUGGGCGGAAGCCUGAUCCAGCCAUGCCGCGUGUGUGAAGAAGGCCUUUUGGUUGUAAAGCACUUUAAGCGAGGAGGAGGCUACCUGGAUUAAUACUCUAGGAUAGUGGACGUUACUCGCAGAAUAAGCACCGGCUAACUCUGUGCCAGCCGCCGCCGUAAAAC
rnacentral:rRNA from 1 species